GGCGAUCGCAAUUGCUCUCAUUGUUGUUGUUCUUAUUCAGUUCAUAAAAAUACUGAUGUUAUUUCCUUGAAUUCUACUUCCAUUUCAUCAGUACAAGUUAAUAUGGCCAAUGGGGUUGACGGUAUAGUUGUACAUAAUAACCGAAACCGUAGUAAAAGUCUCUGCGAGGAUCUUUUUCGUAAUGGCAAUGGAUCCCCGAAGAAGCCACCCACAGGAAAGACGAGAGCUGAUUCCACAAACAAUGGGACCUGUAAUUCGUUGCCGGUGCUGGCGAAUAAUGAGGUGGAGCAAGGGUUGGAAUCAAAUGGAGAUAUCGGAAUUGAAGAGCAGUUGUGCACAAUAAAGAGUCUUGAUGAUGGGAAGGAGUUUGUGGUUAAGGAAGUUAAGGAAGACGGGACUUUGAAAAAAGUCAAGGAAGUGGGUACAGGAAGGCAGUUGACCAUAGAAGAGUUUGAGAUGUGUGUUGGGACAUCACCAAUUGUUCAAGAACUGAUGAGAAGGCAGAAUGUAGAGGAUGGGAAUAAGGAUAGUUUGGAUGGUAAUACAAAUGAGGAUGCUGAAACUGGACCCAAGUCGAAGAAAAAGGGUAGUUGGUUGAAGAGUAUCAAAAAUGUGGCUGGUGCUAUGACAGGUUAUAAGGAGCGGCGGAGCAGUGAUGAGAGGGAUACAUCAUCUGAGAAGGGUGGCAGAAGGUCAAGCUCGGCUACAGAUGAUAGUCAGGAUGCUUCUUUUCAUGGGCCUGAGAGAGUACGGGUCCGGCAGUAUGGGAAGUCCUGCAAAGAACUUACAGCACUGUAUAAGAGCCAAGAGAUACCGGCACAUACUGGGGCUAUUUGGACCAUCAAAUUUAGUUUGGACGGGAAGUAUCUCGCUAGUGCUGGUGAAGACUGUAUAAUACAUGUCUGGCAGGUUACUGAAUCAGAGAGGAAGGGUGACCUAUUGCUGGAUAAACCAGAAGACGGGAAUUUAAAUCUCUUGCUUUUGGCAAAUGGAUCUCCGGAGCCAACUACAAUGUCACCAAAUGAUGGCCACCUGGAGAAGAAAAGAAGAGGAAGGUUGUCUAUAAGUCGAAAAUCAGGGAGCUUCGACCAUGUUUUGGUACCGGAGACCGUUUUCGCAAUUUCAGAAAAGCCCGUCUCUUCAUUUCAGGGGCAUGAGGAUGAUGUGCUUGACCUCUCAUGGUCAAAGUCUCAGCAUUUGCUUUCAUCUUCAAUGGACAAAACAGUGCGGCUGUGGCAUUUGUCUAGCAA
rnacentral:misc_RNA from 1 species